rnacentral:lncRNA from 1 species
UUGUCGAUUCUGCGGCCACGCCCUGCUGCAAACCUGCGUAUCGAUCAUGGAAUGGAGCCAUGGAGCUGAGGCCUGAGGAUCAGAUAUUCACGUGAAUCUUUUGAUAAAGUCCCCGGUCUUUUGGCUGCUGUCCUGCACAGUGCACGUACACGGUAUGCUGAUCACUGGGACGAUGGAAAAUCGUCCAGUAGUCGUGUACUGCGUACAUGGGCUUUCUGUACAGAAUAUUG